UACGGAGGAUGCGAGCGUUAUCCGGAUUUAUUGGGUUUAAAGGGUGCGUAGGCGGAUUUUUAAGUCAGCGGUAAAAUGUCCGGGCUCAACCCGGGCCGGCCGUUGAAACUGGGGAUCUUGAGUGGGCGAGAAGUAUGCGGAAUGCGUGGUGUAGCGGUGAAAUGCAUAGAUAUCACGCAGGACUCCGAUUGCGAAGGCAGCAUACCGGCGCCCGACUGACGCUGAGGCACGAAAGCGUGGGGAUCGAACAGG
rnacentral:rRNA from 1 species